UUUGUGGGCUGCUGUAACAAUAUGAGACGUUGAAUGUACUGUUGACAAAAGUACACAAAGUUAGACAAUUUCCAUCACCUUUAUGGAAAGCGAUAAGAUGUCAUGGAGCUGGAGCUUUGCCGAUAAUUUGCGUGGAAACUGCCCCCGUGGUGCGUCAUCCUAACCUUAUACCCUCCCAAUGUUUGUUUCGAUCAUUUUAACCUGUUGCUGAACUAAAAUCAUCACGAAGACAUACAUGUAAAGCGGAAAGAUAACUCCCAGGUAGCAAUCCCACUCAAAAAAUGUUGUUCUUGGGGAAAGUUAAAUAUGACUGCACGUGACUAGCUAGUUCACGCGGCAGACAAAAUUGGUUGCACGAGCUAUAACCCUUUCACGCGCCGGCGGUAAUUUAUUUCUCGGCACUGGCUUGGUUUGACAGGAAAAUAAAGUAAGGACAGGAGCAAUGAAAGAUGUAACAACAGUCCCCGUAAACUACGACACAGGAAAAACUCCUCUUCAACUACAGUGAUGUGUGAGUGUUAGUGGUAUCCGGUGUGGCUGGACGGGUGUUAGCCAGUUUCAUCCCAAAUCUCCACCCAACAUAGCUGCUGCCCAGAGAUUAACUCUACCACAUAGAUCUUUGUCUCUCUGGAAGUGAUUAAACCAGAGGGGCAGCCUGAAACGAUUACAGAUAACAUUGAUGAAGUCCCAUCGUUUGAAGUGCAGCCUUUUCCUGGGUCUCAUAUGCUUGUGCAAAUGUUUCUUCUUCCUC